rnacentral:rRNA from 1 species
CUAACAAGGAUUCCCCUAGUAACGGCGAGUGAAGCGGGAUGAGCUCAAAUUUGUAAUCUGGCGGCCUUUGGUCGUCCGAGUUGUAGUCUGGAGAAGCGUUUUCCGCGUCGGACCGUGUACAAGUCCCUUGGAACAGGGCGUCGUAGAGGGUGAGAAUCCCGUCUUUGACACGGACUGCCGAUGCUUUGUGAUGCGCUCUCGAAGAGUCGAGUUGUUUGGGAAUGCAGCUCAAAUCGGGUGGUAAAUUCCAUCUAAGGCUAAAUAUUGGCAAAAGACCGAUAGCGAACAAGUACCGUGAGGGAAAGAUGAAAAGCACUUUGGAAAGAGAGUUAAACAGUACGUGAAAUUGUUGAAAGGGAAACGCUUGAAGUCAGUCGCGUCUCGUGGGACUCAGCCUUGCUUUUUCUGCUCGGUGUACUUCCUGCGGCGACGGGCCAGCGUCGAUUUCGAUYGUCGGAGAAAGGCCUCGGGAAUGUGGCACCUUCGGGUGUGUUAUAGCCCUUGGUCGUAUGCGGCGGUGGGGAUCGAGGACCGCAGCACGCCUUGAAUGGCCGGGGUUCGCCCACGUAACGUGCUUAGGAUGCUGGCGUAAUGGCUUUAAGCGACCCGUCUUGA